rnacentral:tRNA from 2 species
GGGGCGUGGCUCAGUUGGUUGAGUGCUUACCUAACAUGCAGGAAAGUCUGGGUUUGAGCCCCAGCGCCACCU